UACGUAGGGUGCGAGCGUUAAUCGGAAUUACUGGGCGUAAAGCGUGCGCAGGCGGUUCUCCAAGUCCGUUGUGAAAGCCCCGGGCUCAACCUGGGAAUGGCAGUGGAAGCUAGGGGACUGGAAUCUGGCAGAGGGGGGUGGAAUGCCGCGUGUAGCAGUGAAAUGCGUAGAGAUGCGGCGGAACACCGAUGGCGAAGGCAGCCCCCUGGGCUGAGAUUGACGCUCAGGCACGAAAGCGUGGGGAGCAAACAGG
rnacentral:rRNA from 1 species